AGAGAGGGAAGGGCCUGGCUGCCUGGAAGCUGAGAAGGUAUCAAGACUGCAGCAGGGCUUGGGGAAGGCUAGAGGAGCUGGAGAGUUCUGGCCUAGAAACCCCCCAGACUGCAGGCCUUGUUAAAGGCCAAAGAAGAAGAGUGACAAAUGUAAACACCUUUGGUGUCUAAGGUCAGCAGGAGGGAAGUCCUUCUUUGACAGACCUUACAAAGCAGGACUCUUUUGGAGACUUCAGCAAUUCCAUAGGAGAUAGAUCUGCAGGUGAAUCCUUUCCUAUCAAUAUGUUCCGGUUACCUGAGCUCAGAAUCUGCACUGUAUGCUGUGAAGCUGCUCCAGGAACCAGUCCUCUCCUACUAUCAGUUCCUCAGUGUCUCUCUUCCUCGUCAUCUACAUCCCAGUUCCACCAUCACUGAAGACACUCCUGCUGCUGCUACAUCUAUUCAGUGGUGUGGCAGGUGAAGUCUCCAGCUGCUAUGUCUAUUCAGUGACAGAGCAGGCGAAAUCUCCAGUCAAGUUCUGCCAGCUGAGUGCUAAAAUACAGCCCAAGCAGCCUGUGCGUAUCAAAGGUUGCCAGCAUAGUGGUGAGACAGCAAUUCAAAAGUGGCACUAGACCACCCAUAAAGGCAAUAUGAGGCAAAGACAGAUGAAUCAUGGGAUUUAAAACAAUUUUAACUAGCUUGGCUUCUGCUAUGCAUCCCACAAUGCAGUGACAAAACUUCCAGAAUGCAGAAUGCUCAGCAGUGAAGCAUACCCUCUGAGAACACCAUGCGGCAAGCUGCCCAUGUGUACCCAGUGAUGAACAUUGACAAAGGCACACCAUCCCAAGUUCAUGCUGCUAUUGCAGCUUGGAUAAUGCAUGUAAACUGAGGUGCAGCAAAAAGCUGCUGAUUCAUUCUCAUUUUCUCUCUCACUCACUCACAGACAAGCCCUUGGAAAAUUUUGAAUGGUACACAGCAAUAGCAUAAUAAAAUAAAAAGCAGGUGAUAAAAAUUGAUGUUCCUGCCCAUAUUCCAGUGGCAUGCUUUAAAUGUCUCCCCUGUCUAAAAACACUCACACAUACUUCUGCAUAAAAGAUAUUUCACAGCAAUUUUAUAAAAUGGAUUAAUUCAUGUUAGCAGUCAUAAGCAAAUCUACAGCAGCCAAGUAUUCACAUAUUAUGAAAAAAGUGUUUUCCCUCUAAGAUACAUUUUACUGUCAGUUUAUCAACAUCAGGGAGAAUAAAAGGCCAUUUUGAAAAUUAAAUAGUAUUCUGGCAAUAUCUUUUUGAAGGGAUAUAUGUUUGCACCCUUACAUAUUAAGCAUAUCUUACAAACAUAUCCUGAAAAACUAGCAACCUUCUCAAAUGGGGCCUACAAUAGUCUCAAAAUCGAAGUUAUUUUGUAUAACCUAAAAUAUGUCCAGAAAUCAUGAUGCUCCACCAAUUAAACAGAUGUUAGGGGCUAGAUGACCUUCCAUGUUCCUGAAAGUCACUUUCCAGAAGUAUUAGAUUUAGAGCAGAUAGACUAAAAACACUGAUGUAAACACUAUUGCAGACCUUGGGGAAAUUUUAGUCUUUUUUUGUCUUUUUUGAUUAAGAGGCAUAUUUGUACAGUAUACCUGACAUUUAGGAAAGCAUAUUAUAUUUAGGAUCAAUCAUGAAAGUGUUGCUUUAAACAAAAGAAAAGUAAGUCUUCGAAGAUGGAUAGUCCUAUUGUAUAAUACUGCUGUGUGCUAUUACACAGCUACCACUUUUUGCCUUAAAUAUGGUGGCAUUCCAAUAGUGAGUUAGGCAAUUUGUGUAUAAAACAGUUCACUUGUA